UGCACUACGUGAUCAAAAAGUUCCGAGCAG
rnacentral:piRNA from 1 species